AUUGAACGCUGGCGGCAGGCCUAACACAUGCAAGUCGGGCGGAAACGAGAAGUAGCUUGCUACUUCGACGUCGAGCGGCGGACGGGUGAGUAAUGCCUGGGAAUAUGCCUUGAUGUGGGGGAUAACUAUUGGAAACGAUAGCUAAUACCGCAUAAUGCCUUCGGGCCAAAGAGGGGGACCUUCGGGCCUCUCGCGUCAAGAUUAGCCCAGGUGAGAUUAGCUUGUUGGUGAGGUAAGAGCUCACCAAGGCAACGAUCUCUAGCUGGUCUGAGAGGAUGAUCAGCCACACUGGAACUGAGACACGGUCCAG
rnacentral:rRNA from 1 species